rnacentral:rRNA from 1 species
UUUUUUUCGGGUAGUGGGUUGGAGAGGAAGGGGCGUGCUGGUUUCGGGUUGGAGAGGAGGGGAGUGAGAGGUGAGGGACAGGUGAGGUAGUGUGUGCUAGGGAUCUAGAGUCGCCUCCGUGGAUGAGGUGAGGGAGGCGAGAGCGGGGGCAUCGGCCGCUGGAACAGAGGGUGGCGGCGGGGAGAGUAGGGGGGAGGUGAGUAGUUGCUGCCGAUCUACGCGUGUGUUGGCCACUGGCUGUAGUACGUUCCAGCGGUGACGGCAGCAGCUUCCUAUCAGAAGGGUGUAGCGAUCGGCGUCGGAGGCGGAGCGGGGCUAGGAGCAGGAGGAGCUGGCGGUGAGCGAGAGGAACCGUCGUGGAGUGGCGGAGGGACGGGUACGGCACAGGCGGCUGUCGGGAUGAGUACGGCUGGAGCGAUUAGUACGCCAUCGCGAACCGACACGAGUGGAACAGGAGCAGCCGCAGCGCCGGCGUCCGGUGCACUUGAUGUUGAGGCGACGGUCACCGCUGCUCAGGAAGGACACGGAGAUGACGGAGCACCGACUAAGGAGGAGAGGGGUUUAACUGUAGGUGGGGAAACAGCUCGGGCGGCACGGUCGCUGUACUCGUUCUACCACAUGUGGCUGAGACCUACUCCAGUUGCGACUACCGCUGAGCUUGCCAAGCACCUCGACAUGGUCCUAGGAUAUCUCGUCUACCCGUAGUAGCUCUACGUCAUGUGAGCACGUCAUGUGUGAGAGAAUCCGUCCAUUCGUUGGGCUCUGUUGAAUCAAACACUUCUAGCCACCAAGUACCAGACCUUCAAAAUAAAGAGAGAGAUUUAAAACAUGAUGAAUCUAUCAGGGAAUGUACGGAAAAUAACGAACUAGUGUGAAAUAUACAUGCACGUUCUUUCCUCAACAAUUGAGUUUGUAAUUACAAUUAAAAACAAUUGAUGUAUGACACAACCUGUAACCAAAAAACUUUAACUGAGGCACAACUUAACCAAAAAGAACAACACAUCGUACUCGUUAAAUAAACGGCCAUACGCGACAACACAUAUCGACCCGUUUGCCCGGCCCGGUUGGUCGGGCACUCGUACGGCUGUGUCGGACGGACCCGGUCCGUGCUGUGCCCGAUUUACCCUGCACGGGCCGUGCGCUGUGUGGAACCCGGCACGGACCCGGACCUCCGACCCGCGUGUCCGGUCGUGUCAUGCUGCGUAAUUAAAAAAUAUAUAAAAAAGUCUAAAAAAUAUAUAUAUGGAUUUUAUGCCGGGUUAUCCGGAUUUUUAGUCGGGUUGUCCGACUUUUACACGUCGGGUCGUACCAUCGUACGAUCUACCCGGUUGUACGGCGGGGCAAAUGAUUGAUCCGGCACGGACCCGGAUCUCCGCGUUGUGCACCUGGCUGUGCCAUGCUGGGCAAAUGAUUUACACGGUGGCACCCGGCCCGACACGGACCGUGCUAACCGUACCCGGCCCAGUCGGGCAAACCGGUCGAUACAACAACACACGGCGUUGGAUCGUUAGACAAGUACGGUUUACUAGUUGAGGACCACUCCAAGUAACGAUCUGUACGUGCCAGAGGCGCCCGUUCCAUAAGCUUCGGCGGGAAACCAGUGAACACAAGAUAAAGAUUUCUCAACACUCUGUAGUGUUACUUUAUAAGCAUAACUACACUAAUCGUUCACAUGAAUUACUGUGUAUGUACAUUGCACAAUACACAUUGCGACUUAGACUACACCGAUAUGAUACACUUAAAUACUUCCGGAUUAAAGGAAAAAUCGUAAAACAUGUUUGCUAUAUGAAUAUUAGUUUCUCUGUUGCUAAUGUUCACAUACUACCACUCGGGUUAAGGGUGUAACUACAAUAGUGGUUUGUAAAAAAAUACGUCUUCCUAACCUGUUCUUUAUGGUUCCGUGUGUACAAACAAAGAAACUUCUCUCUGUUGUCUAGGGAUACGGGUACUUUGCUGAAUCUAUUAUUCGUAGUGGCCUCCAAGUUUUAUUCUUCUCAUGAAUUCUCCUUAGAAAGAUAUCCAAUUCAUAUACAAGAAUACGCAUGGAAACGUAGAACAGGAUAUUAUACAAUAACAAGACACAAUGGAGUUUCCAAAGUACCAAGAAUAAGUUUAUUUUAUUCUUGUCUAGUGAAACAUAGUACGAACGAAACUAUUGUGAAAAGUAAAUGAACGCGAAGAUCUUACAGUAACCACACCUUGAAGAAGAGUCCUCGUACGUAUGAAACUCGGAAAUCCCGGAUGUAAACAAGAACAUGAAGUGACAUACUUUACAUAAUCCUGUAACCGUAUAUAGCACGUACGAAACGUGGAUAUCAAAACUAGAUGGGUGUACUAGGUAACACUUCUAUCUAUAAUCAUGCCUUUACUUUUCAAGACGAACUACGGGG